UCCCUCGUGGCGCAAUUGGCUAGCUAGCGCGUCAGAUUGUUAUCGAAUAUCGUGGUAUCUGGAGGUUGGUGGUUCAAGCUUACCUGGGGGAG